CCCCCCUCCAGCUUGCCCUGCCCACCAACCAGGAGCGGGGCCAGCCUGGAUCUCUUCUCUGCCGCUGGCGUAGGGGCGGGGGCGGGGGACAGUGUCUUCAGCAAAAGUCUGCGGAUAGAAAGGCCCCGCUCCUGUCCGGACAGCAGGAAUGGGAGAGCCGCCUCCAACCCCAGCCCCAUGGAGCAGGGCAGAAACGCUGCCCACUGCCCUGCUCCUGCCACCAGGAAGGGCGUGUGGGGGGCCACUUUCUGUAAAGAAGAAACCGCCUGAACAACAAGUGGCUCAAGGCACCCUUGUCUAACGACCAGGGACACUGAGCGCCAGGGCCCAAGUCACCAGCAAGAGAAAACCCAGGCGGAGCCCAGGGUGUCCCCCACUGCCCACCAGCCACUGCGGUCAACGUGAAGGGCAAGGGUGCAAGCGGGAUCGCGUCACAGGGAGCCGAGUGAGCCCAGAAAGUAGGAGAAGGACGUUUCCACCCACCUGGAGCGCAGUCCGUUUGCAGCCGGCGGCAGAAUGCUGCUGUCUCCAUCAAUAAAGUCCAUGUUAGCCACCUAGAGGAUAAAAUACCACGAGGAGGAGUAGCAAGGUGCCCCUGUUGACAGAUCUUGAAGCACAAGCUCACUCCCAGAAGCACAGCUGCCUAGUCAACAAACAGCUGACAAUACAUGUCUGAAGGAGCUCAGCUGGGAACAGAAGAAUGGCCCCACUGAGCCUAGCCUAAAUGGCGGACCAUCUCAAUUAUGAGCUAAUAAGUUUUGGAUGAUUUGUUAUGCUGCCAUACCUAACUAAUACAUGCACCCAGUGCAGAUUGGGUGUCAAGAUUUAAAGACAGUUUGAUUAUUAGUCACCUUCUAACAAUGGGCACCCUAAAGGUACUGACAUUUUUCCCGAUUUAAAGUUAAAUGUCUUGUAAGGCAAUGUUGACUGAUGCAGGAAUACUUGUAGACAUGUAUGCAUGUGAUUGGUGCUUAUAUGCACACAGUCCCCCACACCACAGGAAAAAACCGAUGACCAGAGCCUGACCAUUAUGGCCAAGGCCAAAUAGCCAAAGUUUGCCUUUAAUCUAUUUUCUUCAUAUCUAAAAAUUGGAGGUCAAUACUGUGGACAGGUCUGAAGACAUAGAGUUUUGUUCUCCUGUGGCCCCAUCAUUCUUCAGUGGUCUACCUGUGGUUAUUUUAUUCUUGUUACCUUCUGCUCUUUCUAUGACCACUAUCUGUUCCACCCUUGAAACUGAAGACAGAUGUUAGUAGAAAGAGGCUGUUCCCUCAUGUCGGGCAUGUGGGAUACGAUGAGGUUUCUCUUCAAAUAGCCUGAUCAAUCUUUUAUUCUUUAAUUCAUAGUACCCACACACACACCCCUUUUUUUCCUUUUUCUCCUUUUUCCUUUCUGCCUUUGUUAGAUGCCCAGGCACGCCACAGUACCAGGCAUUAUCAGUACCAGCUCACAUUUCUUCCCUUAUUUGGAAAGAGGACUAACUUUCUAGCUCAAUGCAGACACCCCUUCCCCUUCCUCUCUGCAUUCUUUUGCAUGCCCACCUUAUCUAAAAAAAUCAAAUGUUUAGCCAACCAGGAUUAGUUCAGAUUGUACGACCCGACCCUGGCCAAUGGGGAAAGGGUACAGGGGCAGGACUUGUGUCAGGAAUAAAGGCUCUUGUGCCCCUUUGUUCAGGUGUGCUCUCAUGGUGACUGGACAAGAACGCACCCCUCUGUGCAGAACUAAAAUUGCUUUGCUAGGAAUCCUUUGUUCGAGUGUUCAAUUUCCUUAUGAUUUUGAGCGUUAUUCCUAACAGGAAGAAAAGGGAUAUUCAGGCCUUUCACAGACCUGACAACAGAGCUGCACUUCAAUGUGACAGGUAUUGACCAUGUGUGACUCCUGGGAGCCUGGAAUGUGGCUGGUCUGAGCUGCAAUUUGCAAGAAAGGUAAAAUGCAGAGUUAGUUUCAAAGAUUUAG
rnacentral:lncRNA from 1 species